CUAGAGCUCAGUCACGACUGUUGUUACGAGUUCAUCCCCUCAUCCCUGUCGAGUACUCCACGCCACCGAGACGUUUCGUCGUCGCCUAGACAUUCCACGCCGCCACCGAGUACUCCAUCUUCCCUCUCAGUUACGAGUUCCCAUCUUUCGAGUACUCGCCGCCGCCGCUGUUUUGCCCUUUUCCACGCCGUCGCUGCUGCGGCAGAAAAGGAUGCACCGCCAGAAAUGGAGUCCCCCCAGAACUGGAUGACCAAGCUCUUGAUUGGCCCUCGCCGGAAAUGGAGUCCCCGCCAGGCGCAACCAACCUUAUCCCUCUCAACGAGAUAGUUGUCGACAUCAAUGGAACAUUUGUGCCUUCACUGAGUGCUCCCGCGCCAACCAACACAGGCUUCUCCCUCACCAUUGAUGAGGUAGACAACACCUGGUUGGAGGCACCACCAGCAGCUGAAGCACCCCCUUCUCUCGUUACUCCCCAGGAACACGGUCACUUGGUGAUAAAACGCAGUUUAGAUUGUCUGUCUCAUCUCACGAAAAAUGAUUUCGAGGGUAUUUCACCGGAUCUCCGAUGAGAGGAAGAAGGACCUCAACAUGUACCAAGUGAGAAAGUGAUGUACCUCAAACUUGGAUUAGCUGCUAAGGAUGAACGCGAAAACAAAGUAGAGAGGAUGCUUGCAAUUAUACAGGUCAUGCAAAUAUUCGAAAUGAGUUGGAAGAUGAUGGUUCAGCCGCCUUAGAUUGUGUUGAUUUUCUGCCCCACGAGACUAGAGUGUUUUAUGACUCUAACCAUCCAGUGAUGGAGGUUGGCAGCCUAUACGCAUCGAUGACUGAAUUCAGGCUUGCAAUGUGGCAAUAUGCCAUAGAAAAAGAAUUUGAGUUAGGCAUUGAGGCCAGUACUCCGAAGAAAUACAGAGGGUAUUGUCGAGGUGGCGACUGUCCAUGGAGCAUACAUGCAAGAAUUGAGAGGGAUGGUUCACCAACCAUAAUCGUAUGUUUUUAUUUGUUCACCAACCAUGGAGCAUACAUGCAAGAAUUGAGAGCUUGUAUGAAAAAACUAACUCCGAAGAAAAAGAAGUAAGGGAUGUUUGUAAUCUGUCCCCGCCUACUACUAUGGAUCAGGUGUAAUGUGUUUCUGUGUAAUGUGUAAAUGGAACUCAGUCUAUGGAAUUCAAAAUGUGUCUGUGUAAUUGGAACUUGUUUUCAGUUCAGUUUGAAUUUCACAAUGUGUCUGUGUGUAAUUCGGAAUGUGUCUGUGUGUAAUUUUCAGUUUAGUUAGGGCACUUGUUUUCAGUCUGAAUUUCUGAUGCAACUUGUUUUCAGUCAGUCUGAAUUCAAUAAGUUCAGUUCAGUUAGUUCAGUAAGUUCAGUCUAGUCUGAACAUUCUGGCAUUCCACACAUUUGCUGACACAUUUUCUGUAGCCAAGAUGCAAUUUUUUCGGAAUGGAUUUAACAUGAACUC